rnacentral:rRNA from 1 species
GACGAACGCUGGCGGCGUGCUUAACACAUGCAAGUCGAACGGAAAGGCCCUGCUUUUGUGGGGUGCUCGAGUGGCGAACGGGUGAGUAACACGUGAGUAACCUGCCCUUGACUUUGGGAUAUAACUUCAGGAAACUGGGGCUAAUACCGGAUAGGAGCUCCUGCUGCAUGGUGGGGGUUGGAAAGUUUCGGCGGUUGGGGAUGGACUCGCGGCUUAUCAGCUUGUUGGUGGGGUAGUGGCUUACCAAGGCUUUGACGGGUAGCCGGCCUGAGAGGGUGACCGGCCACAUUGGGACUGAGAUACGGCCCAGACUCCUACGGGAGGCAGCAGUGGGGAAUAUUGCACAAUGGGCGGAAAGCUGAUGCAGCAACGCCGCGUGCGGGAUGACGGCCUUCGGGUUGUAAACCGCUUUUCGCUGUGACGAAGCGUGAGUGACGGUAAUGGGUAAAGAAGCACCCGGCUAUAUACUGCCAGCAGCCGCGGUGAUACGUAAGGUGCCAGCGUUGUCCGGAUUAUGGGCGUAAAAGGGCUCGUAGGUGGUUGAUCGCGUCGGAAGUGUAAUCUUGGGGCUUAACCCUGAGCGUGCUUUCGAUACGGGUUGACUUGAGGAAGGUAGGGGAGAAUGGAAUUCCUGGUGGAGCGGUGGAAUGCGCAGAUAUCAGGAGGAACACCAGUGGCGAAGGCGGUUCUCUGGGCCUUUCCUGACGCUGAGGAGCGAAAGCGUGGGGAGCGAACAGGCUUAGAUACCCUGGUAGUCCACGCUGUAAACGGUGGGUACUAGGUGUGGGGUCCAUUCCACGGGUUCCGCGCCGUAGCUAACGCUUUAAGUACCCCGCCUGGGGAGUACGGCCGCAAGGCUAAAACUCAAAGGAAUUGACGGGGCCCCGCACAAGCGGCGGAGCAUGCGGAUUAAUUCGAUGCAACGCGUAGAACCUUACCUGGGUUUGACAUGGAUCGGGAGUGCUCAGAGAUGGGUGUGCCUCUUUUGGGGUCGGUUCACAGGUGGUGCAUGGCUGUCGUCAGCUCGUGUCGUGAGAUGUUGGGUUAAGUCCCGCAACGAGCGCAACCCUUGUUCACUGUUGCCAGCACGUUAUGGUGGGGACUCAGUGGAGACCGCCGGGGUCAACUCGGAGGAAGGUGGGGAUGACGUCAAGUCAUCAUGCCCCUUAUGUCCAGGGCUUCACGCAUGCUACAAUGGCUGGUACAGAGAGUGGCGAGCCUGUGAGGGUGAGCGAAUCUCGGAAAGCCGGUCUCAGUUCGGAUUGGGGUCUGCAACUCGACCUCAUGAAGUCGGAGUCGCUAGUAAUCGCAGAUCAGCAACGCUGCGGUGAAUACGUUCCCGGG